UUUCAGCGGGCAUGACUUGGUACAUCCAGUGACCCAGCAAAAAGUAGCCUCGGUACAGCCAGAAGUAGCAACAAAUCGCAAAAGGGGAUCCUUGUCUGACUGGUGGCUGGACCACAUGACACUUGUUGGAAAAGGAAGGACCAAAGGUGCCAUCGUCGAGGGCCCAGAUAGAUGAAGAGAUUGAAGCCUGGGCUGCACACAAUCCUGUUAGUAACAAAAAAAGAAGGAAAAAAUGCUGUCCCAUUUGUCCAUAUGCCCAGCGCCAGAACCCAUUUAUACAUCUGGGUAGUGAGAAAAUCUAGGAAGAAGUCGCCACCCACUGAUGAUCUCAUCCAAGUUUACCAAAGACUCCAAAGCAGUGUAGGAGAGGAAUGGUGGCCUGUUCGAACAGGCAUGGACUGAAUCGCCAGCUCUCAUCUCCCUAGUCACUCCGAUGGCCACGUGUCGCUCCUCGAUCAACAGCGAUUUCAAUGAAUGAUGCGUUGAUGUGGGCAAAAAGUGAAUCCUUUCUCGCCUUUGAACUCUGGUGUUCGUCGUAUCAAUCCUUUUUGAUUGUCGAGCAACUUGUGGGCACACCUCAACUUGUUAGUGGGAAGUAAUUUGCAAUAGAGUGACUUACUUUUAUUGCUAUAUUUUAUUGUAUUUUUUCACUUCACAUCAUUGUUAUUUUGAAAAAUCCUGCCAAAAUUCUGUUGACUGUUUGUUGUCGACAAGAGUCUAUGUUUCAUGAAUAA